rnacentral:lncRNA from 1 species
GAAGAACAGGGUGAAGAAAAGUAAGUCCAGGAGCCCGCCUGAAGAACAGGGUGAAGAAAAAGUAAGUCUAGGAGCCCGCCUGAAGAAUAGAGUGAAGAAAAAAGUAAGUUCAGGAGCCCACCUGAAGAACAGGGUAAAGAAAAAAUAGGUCCAAGAGCCCGCUUGAAGAAUAGGGUAAAGAAAAAAAACAAGUCCAAGAGCCCUCUUGAAGAACAGGGUGAAGAAAAAAGUAAGUCCAAGAGCCCUCCUGAAGAACAGGGUGAAGAAAAGGCAAGUCCAGGAUCCCGCCUGAAGAAUAAGGUGAAGAAAAAGCAAGUUCGGGAGCCCGCCUGAAGAAUAGGGUGAAGAAAAAGCAAGUCCAGGAGCCCGCGUGAAGACCAGAGUGAAGAAAAAGCAAGUCCAGGAGCCCUCCUGAAGAACAGGGUGAAGAAAAAGCAGGUCCAGGAACCCACCUGAAGAACAGGGUGUAGAAAAAGCAAGUUCAUGAGCCCGCCUGAAGAACGGGGUGAAGAAAAAACAAAUCAGGAGACCUCCUAAAGAAUAGGGUGAACAUUAUCAGU